GAUCACUGUUACCUCUGUAUAGUGACUGUAGUAUUUCAGUGUAGUGUUUUUGUUUUCGUCACUGAGAGUGAGACGGAAUUAUUUAAUCAUCAAUAACAAAAUUCUGUUGGAGUCUGUUGACUAGUUCAUCACUCAUUAAAAAUCUGUGAUGGAAAUGGCAGAGCCCUGGCCACAGCUGGGAGA
rnacentral:sRNA from 1 species